rnacentral:tRNA from 2 species
GCCCGAGUGGUGGAAUUGGUAGACGCAGGGGACUCAAAAUCCCCCGCCGCAAGGCGUGCCGGUUCGAGUCCGGCCUCGGGCACCA